UUAGGGGUACCGUCAGUCCUGUGAAGUAUUAGCUCACAGGAUGUUCUUCCCCUUGACAGAGGUUACGACCAAGGCCUUCUUCACUCACGCGGCGUUGCUCCGUCAGGCUUUCGCCCAUUGCGGAAGAUUCCCC
rnacentral:rRNA from 1 species